UUUAAUGCCAAAAUAUCUGGGAGCGGCAGUGCGCAGGAUUCGAGGGGACGGUUUCGGCUGUGCCCAUCUCUCUGUACUUUCUUCAUUCGAAAUUCGAACUCGAAAGUAGGGGGACUGGUGUUGGGUAUAAAAUACCCACAGCCGAAGUCCUCAGCAGAAUCAGCUGCAGGAAGACUUCGCCCGGACUCCUACGGGAGCCGGGCUUCGCCCUCGACUCCAACAGCUGCAGACAGACUCCGUCCGGACUCCUACGGGAGCCGGACUCCGCCGACAACUCCAACCGCAAGUAGACUCCGCCCGGACUCCUACGGGAGCCGGGCUCCGUCCUCAACAU
rnacentral:lncRNA from 1 species